GUCACGCCCGAAGUCGUUACCUCAACCGCAAGGAGGGGGAUGCCUAAGGCAGGGCUAGUGACUGGGGUGAAGUCGUAACAAGGUAGCCGUACCGGAAGGUGUGGCUGGAUCACCUCCUUAAAGGGAGACCUAAUUCAGGUAUGGGACGAAAAAAAAGUAGUCCCUACCAAGAAUCAAUCCCAAAAGGUCGGAGCGAGGCAUGAGGCUUUCAAACUAGGUUCUGGGUUCACACAAGACCUGAAUCAGGAACAAGGGCUAUUAGCUCAGGUGGUUAGAGCGCACCCCUGAUAAGGGUGAGGUCCCUGGUUCGAGUCCAGGAUGGCCCACCUGCACAGGUGGCAAAAACAAAAAAAAGAAGCGAGGAAUCAGCACCUUAUCUUAUAUACAUAUAUAAGAGAGAAUGCUGGCUCUGAGUACAGAGUCCAGAGGAACCUUGAAAACUGCAUAGAGCUAGGUGAAAAAGCCAAAAAAGAAGACCGCAAGGUCAAGCUAAUAAGGGCUAACGGUGGAUACCUAGGCACACAGAGG
rnacentral:misc_RNA from 1 species